rnacentral:rRNA from 1 species
UACAGAGGUCUCAAGCGUUGUUCGGAUUCAUUGGGCGUAAAGGGGUGCGUAGGCGGCGCGGUAAGUCGGGUGUGAAAUCUCGGGCUUAACUCCGAAACUGCAUUCGAUACUGCCGUGCUUGAGGACUGGAGAGGAGACUGGAAUUUACGGUGUAGCGGUGAAAUGCGUAGAUAUCGUAAGGAAGACCAGUGGCGAAGGCGGGUCUCUGGACAGUUCCUGACGCUGAGGCACGAAGGUCCAGGGGAGCAAACGGGG